UUGACAUGCACAGUGAAACCAAGAUGGUAUAAGCUCACGGGUGAGCACAAUUUGAGACCGAUACCAUCUUGGUUUCACUGUGCAUGUCAA